GUAGGGUUGUGCAUGGAAAACACUCCUGCAGCACAUACUGUACAUACUGCCAGAAGUGAUUUUUAUGGACAAUCCAGUGUAAUUCAUAUACAUCCUUCAAAAACUGUUUAAAAAAAAAUCAAGUGGUUUGCCAACUUACCACAUCUUGCCAUUAUGUUAAAUAACCCCCUUGUUCUUUUAAACUAAUACAUUGAUUUAGAUUGUGACACUUUAAACUGCAGUUCACUCAGCUCUUACAGUUCAAAGCAGGCCAAAUCCUUGAAAAUCACAUGAAGAAUGUGUAACUAGAAACAAAAGAACAGUCAAG